rnacentral:rRNA from 1 species
GACGAACGCUGGCGGCGUGCCUAAUACAUGCAAGUCGAGCGGACUGAUUCGGGGCUUGCUCCGAUGAGGUCAGCGGCGGACGGGUGAGUAACACGUGGGUAACCUGCCUGAUCGUCUGGGAUAACGCUUGGAAACGAGUGCUAAUACCGGAUAAUCUCUUGAAUCGCAUGGUUCGAGAGUAAAAGGAGCUUUUGCUCCACGAUCAGAUGGACCCGCGGCGCAUUAGCUAGUUGGUGAGGUAACGGCUCACCAAGGCGACGAUGCGUAGCCGACCUGAGAGGGUGACCGGCCACACUGGGACUGAGACACGGCCCAGACUCCUACGGGAGGCAGCAGUAGGGAAUCUUCCGCAAUGGGCGAAAGCCUGACGGAGCAACGCCGCGUGAGUGAUGAAGG